UUUCAAGGAACUCUGGCUAGGAGCGCCGCGUCCUGCGGCAACGCCUGAGUGACCAACAUCCUGUUGG
rnacentral:sRNA from 1 species